rnacentral:rRNA from 1 species
UCGGGAAUUUUGGGCAAUGGGGGCAACCCUGAUCCAGCCAUGCCGCGUGAGUGAAGAAGGCCUUCGGGUUGUAAAGCUCUUUCGGCGGGGACGAAACGGUCCGUGACAACACCACGGACUAAUGACAGUACUCGCAGAAGAAGCACCGGCUAACUACGUGCCAGCAGCCGCGGUAAUACGUAGGGUGCAGGCGUUAAUCGGAAUUACUGGGCGUAAAGCGUGCGCAGGCGGCUCCUUAAGUCAGAUGUGAAAUCCCCGGGCUUAACCUGGGAACUGCGUUUGAAACUGAGGGGCUAGAGUGUGGAAGAGGGGGGUGGAAUUCCAGGUGUAGCAGUGAAAUGCGUAGAGAUCUGGAGGAACACCGAUGGCGAAGGCAGCCCCCUGGGCUAACACUGACGCUCAUGCACGAAAGCGUGGGGAGCAAACAGGAUUAGAUACCCCAGUAGUCCCUGAGCGGGCUGGCAAGGCGCAU